rnacentral:rRNA from 1 species
GUGCCAGCAGCCGCGGUAAGACGUAGGGGGCGAGCGUUGUCCGGAUUCACUGGGCGUAAAGCGCGCGUAGGCGGCUCGUUAAGUCGGAUGUGAAAACCCGGGGCUCAACCCCGGGCCUGCACCCGAUACUGGCGGGCUGGAGGCAGGUAGGGGAGAUCGGAAUUCCCGGUGUAGCGGUGAAAUGCGCAGAUAUCGGGAGGAACACCGGUGGCGAAGGCGGAUCUCUGGGCCUGUCCUGACGCUCAGGCGCGAAAGCUAGGGGAGCAAACAGGAUUAGAAACCCCCGUAGUCC